rnacentral:rRNA from 1 species
AUGGCUCAGAUUGAACGCUGGCGGCAGGCCUAACACAUGCAAGUCGAACGGUAACAGGAAGAAGCUUGCUCUUGCUGACGAGUGGCGGACGGGUGAGUAAUGUCUGGGAAACUGCCUGAUGGAGGGGGAUAACUACUGGAAACGGUAGCUAAUACCGCAUAACGUCGCAAGACCAAAGAGGGGGACCUUCGGGCCUCUUGCCAUCGGAUGUGCCCAGAUGGGAUUAGCUUGUUGGUGGGGUAACGGCUCACCAAGGCGACGAUCCCUAGCUGGUCUGAGAGGAUGACCAGCCACACUGGAACUGAGACACGGUCCAGACUCCUACGGGAGGCAGCAGUGGGGAAUAUUGCACAAUGGGCGCAAGCCUGAUGCAGCCAUGCCGCCGUGUAUGAAGAAGGCCUUCGGGUUGUAAAGUACUUUCAGCGGGGAGGAAGGGAGUAAAGUUAAUACCUUUGCUCAUUGACGUUACCCGCAGAAGAAGCACCGGCUAACUCCGUGCCAGCAGCCGC